rnacentral:rRNA from 1 species
UUUUCCUAAGAAGCUUGAAAACGGAGGUCCCGAGCGUUGUUCGGAUUCACUGGGUGUAAAGGGCGCGUAGGUGGUUGUCUGUGUCUCAUGUGAAAACUCAGGGCUCAACUCUGAGAUUGCGUGGGAAACUAGGCAGCUAGAGGACGGUAGAGGGGAGUGGAAUUCCCGGUGUAGCGGUAAAAUGCGUAGAUAUCGGGAGGAACACCGGUGGCGAAGGCGGCUCUCUGGGCCGAUCCUGACGCUGAGGCGCGAAAGCUAGGGGAGCGAACCGGAUUAGAUACCCGGGUAGUCCUAGCCGUAAACGAUGGGUGCUAGGUGUUGGGGGGUAAAGACCCUUCAGUGCCGAAGCAAACGCGAUAAGCAUCCCACCUGGGGAGUACGGCCGCAAGGUUGAAACUCAAAUAAAUUGGCGG